ensembl:lncRNA
GCGUUUAUCUUGGCCUGGAGCGUUCGUGUGGGUGGGCAGACGGACCCUAGAGACCUAAAUACGGCCUUACAGCAGUGUCAGCAGAGGCUCUGUCCAAAUGAAUAAUGCCACUGUAUUAGUCAUACAUAUAUAUUAGUCAUAUAUGCAUAUUUAUAAAAUGUGCAAACAAGAUGUCCUUCCAGGUUACAGACACGCGUUGUGAAAGUUAAGUGAGCUGCGGUCAGACCCGAUGAGUCAAGAAAUGAACACAAAUAUUAACACAAAACUGAGUGACCGUCAGGGCUGAAGUCAUACGCUACACAACUCAUGCAGGAAAAAAACAAACACAAACAUUUCAUCUAUUUAUAAACAUGGUUUCCACAAAAAGUAGCUUGUUGCAGUUGUGCUUCUUAAUUGUUUUAUUGAAUAUAUUUAGCUGAAAAUGUUUUAAAAUUGCCUUUAAUACAAAUGCAGAUUUUUUUUUUUUUUUAAGAAUAUGAACCAAACUUUGCAAAUGAAUGAGCCAAGACUAUCAACAUAUACAUAAUUUUUUUUUUUUUUUUUUUAGGAUUUUGAGAAGAGUAUAAGUUUUUUUUUAAGAGACAUAACAUUUAACUUUACUGUAUUUCAUGUAUUAACAGGUUUUCAUACCCACUAUAAUGGACAACAUGCCCCACUGGUCUCUUAAAGUCUCUUUUAGUCAAGACUUUAAGGUGGUGCAUUUACCCUCGUGUGCUCAGAGACGUGUCCACAGUGGACAUGUCCACCACAGUUCUGGGCCAGAGAGUCAGUAUGCCCAUCUGUGUGGCAGCUACUGCUAUGCAGCGAAUGGCGCAUCCGGACGGUGAAACGGCCACUGCAAGAGGUCAGACACCAUUAACUUACUCUGACCACAUGGUGGCACCAUAAGUCUUUCCUACAUUCUACAGUAUGUCCUGCUCCCAAUCACACUUAAACAACCCUAACAAAAAUGGAUCACGGUUACCAUAGUAUGAGCUAAUAUACUAUAGUUUCAGUGUGGCCCUAAUAUGGAAGUCCAUUUCUGCCACAUAAGAUAAAAAAACAAACAAACAAAAAAAAAAAACAUACUAAAUCAUAAUUAUGAAAUAAAAUUCAAAAUAUUGAAUUUAUGACA